rnacentral:rRNA from 1 species
GCAAGUCGAACGAGAAAGGGUUCUUCGGAACCCGAGUAAAGUGGCGCACGGGUGAGUAACGCGUAGAUAAUCUAUCUUUAUGUUUGGGAUAACCCUUCGAAAGGGGGACUAAUACCUGAUAUAUUCGUACCUAUCGGGGUAUGAAGGAAAGGUGGCCUCUAUUUAUAAGCUAUCGCAUGAAGAGGAGUCUGCGUACCAUUAGCUAGUUGGUGGGGUAAAGGCCUACCAAGGCAACGAUAGGUAGCUGGUCUGAGAGGAUGAUC